AGGAUUGGAGGAGGAUACAUGGAAGGAAGAAUAUGAAUAACAUUUUUUUUUCUUUUAAAUUUUUUGUUUAGUAUUUGUAUUUAUUUUAACAAUAUAGUUGUCUGGUCUUUGCCUUUCUCUUAGCUAUAUAAAGCCAUUCCUCCGCUCUUAGGUCCAUGACCUGCUUGGUUGAUGCAGUGAUAGUAGUGAAAAAAAAAGAAGAAAACUGCAAGAUCUCUCCAUCCUUCAAGGAUCCUUUGUGAGACACUUGCUUUCUCCUCAAGAAGCUAGCUCUCUGAUCCCUCCACCUUAUGAGUCGUCUUAGAGAUCUUUGCGUCCACUGCUCUCUCUUUCUCUCUCUCUCUCUCUCUCUCAUUUAUUCAUUUGGAAGUUGCAUAGAUCUGCCUAUUUAAUGUAAAUUUUAUGUGUAUUUUCUGGUGGGUGGGUUCCUUGAUGGUUUACAUUGAAGAGAGCUUUCUUCAGUCCACUCAUGGGUGGCAGUAGGAUUGAAUUAGCUGCCGACUCAUUCAUCCAAAUACUGUGUUAAGGACUACCCAGUAAAUGAUUGAAUGAUGCGGGAGACAAAUUGGAUCUUAAGCUCCCUGUGCUUGGACUGAAGGGAGCUCCCUUCACUGCAAUCUUAUCCAAAUCUGUCUUCCAUUAUUUGAAUAAUAUUUUGUUACAAAGGUUUUGUACUGUCACCAAUUCUAUUAUAUUUUCCACACGGUCUAAGCCACUAAACAUAUAUCGAUUUUUGGGGGUAAUGCUUAGUAGUUGGACUAGUAGUCUCUUUCAAGAUUAUCUUUAGCUUUUUUAGUAUUAAUCUUUUGUUCCUUGUCUUGUAAAGGGUUCUCCAUAUCAAUCAAAUCUACAGAGGUAGCCAUCAAUCCUCGGCCUUUUUAGUUUCCUGCUUAAAAUCCCUACUGCUUUUCCUUCUCCAUAUUAUUCAAAUCUACAAAGCUUCAACUUCGGAAACAAGGGUUUUAGGGUUUUGCUGAAGUGAUGUGAUUGUGAUAUAUUGCUGUUGAAGGGCGGCAACGCAUGUCCCUUGCAAACUCACGCUCCACGACAAUUGCUUCUUGGGUCUUGCUCUCUUACUGCAACAAGUUCCUAGACAUGUCUCUCACAGGGUGCAAUUACCCAAAUAUCCUCUUCUGCUGAAGUUCCAACAGUGGUGCAAGGGAAAAAUGUUCUUGAGAGACUCUCUCUCUCUCUCUCUCCCCCUCCCUCUCUCUUUCUCCUUCCUUUUGUAAUUUCUUUUAACUUAAAUGUUUUUUUAUUGUUUAAUUUUUACCUUCAAGCUUAUAUGAGUGGAAUGAAAGCUCCUUAAUAUUUUCAUAUUCCCAUGAAUGUGUUUUUUGAUUU